rnacentral:rRNA from 1 species
AUGUGUUCCAAAACAGCAACUCUUACUAGAUGGCAUGAUGAAGAGCGUACAAAAGAUGGUUUGAGCAGGCAUCCAGCUGAUUCUGCUCAAUGGAAGUAUUUUGAUGAGUUGCAUGAGGACUUUGCUAAGGACAGCCGCCAUUUUAGGCUUGGAUAUGGAGCAGAUGGUUUUAAUCCUUUUAGAUCCAAUAAUGUGAAUUAUAGUGUUUGGCCUGUUAUCUUGAUUCCUUAUAACUUCCCUCCUUGGAUGUGCAUGAAGCAAUCAAAUUUUUUUCUCACAUUGUUGAUUCCUGGUAAACAUGCUCCUGGUAGUGAUAUGGAUGUUUAUCUAGAGCCGUUAAUUGAUGAUAUGGUAGAUAUGUUUCUUCAUGGUGUCAAAACGUACGAUGUUUCAAAAGAAGAGUUCUUUAAUUUGAAGGCUACCAUAUUAUGGACCAUUCAUGAUUUCCCGGGCCUAGGGUAUACAGCUGGUUGUACCAUCUCUGGUGAAUGA